CUUUAGAUAAGCCAGUGCUUUGUUAGUAUAGAAGUGCUUUGUUAGUAAUUUUAUUGCUCGAAGUGAAGUAGAAAGAGAUAAGUUUUUAGUCUGUGCCGGAAGAUGUGUCAGCUUUCAUAUACAUGAUCCUAUUUUGUCUUUUUCACAGAGAUCCCAGACAUCAUAAAUGCUAAGAACCUUAAAACAUUCAGGGAGUGGACUGGUGACCUGAAGAAACUUCCAAAUAUCAAACUGCGAAAGGUGUUCAAAAAAGACUUGGAGACAAAGAAUGAAGAAGAUGAUAAACCUGAAGACGCAGAUGAUGAUGAUGAGAAUAAGGAUGAUGAAGAUGACCAGCUAGAUGAGGAUGUGCUGAUGUCGGACUUACUCUGAACAUUUUGGUAAUGGACUGUAGCUCAAAUCUUAGGUGGUCCUUACGGGACAACUGACUGCAGGGCUGAACAUCAGACGGCUGCUGCUCCACCACUGUCCAGAAGGUGGCGCCAGACUCAAAUGGAAAACUAAUCUUGUAUCACUUCUUCAAAGCUCAGUAACUCCACAGCGGCCUGUGAGGGGUUCUACAUUCAUUGUUUAUUGCAAAAACAUAUAUGAGUUGUAUGCAACCUGAAUACUGCCAUUUUAUCCAAUCAGAGAUAGAAAAAAGCUUUUGACAAAGAUGUUGAGUGCUCUUUAUGUUGUGGUAGCCAUAAGACAGAGAACAUGUUAUUUUCUGUGACCUGACAGAUUUAAAAAAAAAAAAAUUAAACCUGUAGGUGUGAACAACA